UACGUAGGGGGCAAGCGUUGUCCGGAAUCAUUGGGCGUAAAGCGCGCGUAGGCGGCCCUGUAAGUCCGUUGUGAAAGUCGAAGGCUCAACCUUCGAAAGCCGAUGGAUACUGCAGGGCUAGAGUCCGGAAGAGGCGAGUGGAAUUCCUGGUGUAGCGGUGGAAUGCGCAGAUAUCAGGAGGAACACCAAUAGCGAAGGCAGCUCACUGGCCCGGUACUGACGCUGAGGUGCGAAAGCGUGGGGAGCAAACAGG
rnacentral:rRNA from 1 species